rnacentral:misc_RNA from 1 species
UCAUUAAAGCAAACGGAUAUACCUUACACACCGAGUAAAGAAAUAAGGAAACGAUUUUUCUUUAAAACAGGAAAUUUCUUUAUUGAUAAAGACAAAAAAUUUUAUUAUUCUUUUCUAUUAUCUUUGUCUUUUUGUGAGUUGGAAAUUGUAAAAAUUUACUCAAAAAUUAUUAUUGAGCAUCCGUUCUUGGGCCUCUUUUUACGUUUGUUUAUUUACUUUCUUUUUUUUUUAGAUAAAAGUUUCUCGAAGAGAAGGACUCGCAACGGUACGCGGUUUGCACACCUCAUUGUUAGGAUUGUGACGGACACGCUCGAGGGGGGUCGCCGGUGCGAGAAGGGGCCCCCGUGCGAUCAGUCCUCUCGCCGCUGCUUUCCGGUCACGGUGGCACACGCGAGCUCGUGAAAUCGGCCUCGCGCGAUUUUCUCCUGCUAACACAAUGUUCUCUCGCGCCCGCGGGAAGUGCCGCUGGUGUUGAACGAAUUGGAAUUAAGUGUGAAACAGAGGCGGAAUUUCCUUCGAGUCGUCGUCGUCGUCGUUUACCUUAGAGGGAAGAGGCGAUAUUAAUUUUCUUUUCGGAUAUACGCAGAGUUGACUCUACAAAUAUGUGAAGAGGAGAAUUUUGAGAGUCGAGGAUGCCGCUGUUCAAGGCGCGGGCCAUGCUGAGAUCGCCGGUAACGGAGAAAGCUGCGAACGGCGUGUCGCAGUGUCGCAGCCAGCAGCAGCAGCAACAGCAACAUCAGCAUCAGCAUCAUCAUCAGGCCGGCGGUGACAACGGUCAUGACAGCGGUAACGGUACCGAUAGCAGCAACCGGUCGGGCAACGGCGCUGCUCCUCUUCUUCAGCGCGAGCAGGCGAGAUCGCCGUCCCGGGACCCGAAGCCGUCGUCCCUGGUCUUCCACUGCCAGCUGGCCCACGGCAGUCCCACGGGACUUAUAUCGGAUUUCAGUAACGUUCGGGAACUGUACCAGAAGAUCGCCGAGCGCUACGACCUACCCGCGGAAGAGAUCCUGUUCUGCACACUCAACACGCACAAAGUGGACAUGACGGAGCUGUUGGGUGGACAGAUCGGCGUGGGCGACUUCAUAUUCGCACAUAAGAAAGGUCGGCCAAAAGAAAUCGAGCUAGUGAAAACGGACGACGCGCUGGGUCUGACGAUCACCGACAACGGUGCCGGUUACGCUUUCAUAAAGCGCAUAAAGGAAGGUUCAGUGAUCGACAGGAUAAAGGUGAUUGAGGUGGGCGAUCAUAUUGAGAGGAUCGACUCGACCAGUCUCGUCGGCAGGCGGCACUUCGAGGUGGCCAAGAUGCUGAAGGACAUACCGAAGGGCUCGACGUUCACCCUGAGGCUGGUGGAGCCGCAGAAGAACGGCUUCGGCAGCAUCGGGCCGCGCGGUGACCUCAAGAGAGGGAAGAAGACCGGUUACGGGUCCGGCAAGGAGACUUUGAGAUUCAAGGCGGACGGUAGCACGCAAAUCGUAGAGCAGAAUAAAUAUUUACGCAGAUCGACGAUGCUGCUGCGAUAGGCGUCGAGAAGAUUAAUACUAUCUUGGAGAGCUUCAUGGGUAUCUCUGAUACGGAGUUGGCCACGCAGAUCUGGGAGCUUGCCGAGGGCAAAUGCAACAGUAUAGACUUCGCCGAGGCAAUAGACAACUCUGACUUGGAGGACUUCGGCUUCACCGACGAGUUUGUGAUCGAAUUGUGGGGCGCCGUGACGGAUGCCAGGGC